rnacentral:rRNA from 1 species
UACGUAGGGCGCAAGCGUUGUCCGGAAUUAUUGGGCGUAAAGAGCUCGUAGGCGGCCAGUUGCGUCUGCUGUGAAAUCCCGGGGCUCAACCCCCAGCCUGCAGUGGGUACGGGCAGACUAGAGUGCGGUAGGGGAGAUUGGAAUUCCUGGUGUAGCGGUGAAAUGCGCAGAUAUCAGGAAGAACACCCGUGGCGAAGGCGGCUCUCUGGGACGUGACUGACGCUGAGACGCGAAAGCGUGGGGAGCGAACAGG